UCUUCAGAGGCAAGACGGCUGCCGCUGCUGCUCUCCGACUCAUCAAACUCGSCACAGGCAGGUGACAGGUCGACAGCUAAGGUCUUCUGCACAUUAUCUGCUCAGGGAUGGAGAAACCCAAACAAGAGCCUGUCCUCAGUUCUCUCCGGCGAUCAGGCCCCCCACUUAGUGUAUUUGACAAGCUGAGUUGGACACUCUGUAUCAGCGAGUGUCAGUUUGUCAAAUACCCCAAGUGAGGUGUCACUUCUCAACAAACGGAGGUCACUGCACAGACAGAACGGCCGCAACACGGCGUGGAAAAGCGUUGAAGAACUGCCAGCCUGAUUAGUUGUUUGAUGAUGUAUUUCUAGGCUUCCACUUUCAGCCUGGAAAUAAGUUGAUUUUUUUUUUUUUUUGCAAACUUCAUUUAACUUGCAUGCAGCUUUUUGCGUGCAUUUAUUUUGUGAAACUUUCUCAUUUGUAAACUUACAGAACAGCAACCAGUUUAUACAUCCGUACAUGUUGGAAGAGGUACAAACGAGAGUAAAAUGGAAAUGCACUGUAAAUUACUGCUGUGUGAUAAUGUGUCUCUGUAACAUCAAAGGCAACAGAGAGUAAGGCUUUUUAAAGAAUGUUGUCGUAGUUGUUUCUUUUUGUUCUUUUUUUUUUUGCUUUUGGUUCUUUCGCAGAACCAUGCAGCGUGGUUGCAUGUGUGCCUGCUACAGCUAAAGUAGCUUAUAGGGAGAAGAGAAGCGCCCAGUGCCUCCCUGAGCCACAUGGCAUUUCUGCUGAGCUUCUUCAUUUCAGUGUGCACACAUAAAAAGUCAAGAUGCAUCAAAUUCCUGUAAUAAAAGUGAAUGAUCAGUGAG